CUUGGUCAUUUAGAGGAAGUAAAAGUCGUAACAAGGUUUCCGUAGGUGAACCUGCGGAAGGAUCAUUACCGAGUCGAGGGUCCCAGCGGCCCGAACCUCCCACCCCUUGCUGACAUACUGCGUUGCUUUGGCGGGGCAGCGCCCGGGCCUCGGUCCCCGCGCCACCAGCUCCGGCUGGCGAGCCCCCGUCAGAGUCCACCCAAACCCGAUUCAAUUUUAAGUCUGAGUGAAAAAUCAAUAGCUAAAAACUUUCAACAACGGAUCUCUUGGUUCUGGCAUCGAUGAAGAACGCAGCGAAAUGCGAUAAGUAAUGUGAAUUGCAGAAUUCAGUGAAUCAUCGAAUCUUUGAACGCACAUUGCGCCCUCUGGUAUUCCGGGGGGCAUGCCUGUUCGAGCGUCAUUUGCACCCUCAAGUAUGACUUGGUGUUGGGCACCCGCUUCCCCCUCGGGGGAGGCCACCCGAAUGGCAAUGGCGGUUCCCCCGGGAGCUCAGCGUAGUAACUUUUCGUCGCCGAGUAAUCCCCCGGGAUCCAGCCGGGCAACCGCCCGAACCCAUCUUUCAAUGGUUGACCUCGGAUCAGGUAGGGAUACCCGCUGAACUUAAGCAUAUCAAUAAGCGGAGGAAAAGAAACCAACAGGGAUUGCCUCAGUAACGGCGAGUGAAGCGGCAACAGCUCAAAUUUGAAAUCUGGCCCUCGGGUCCGAGUUGUAAUUUGUAGAGGAUGUCUCGGGGACGGCACCGGUCUAAGUUCCUUGGAACAGGACGUCACAGAGGGUGAGAAUCCCGUACGUGCCCGGCCGCCAACUCCAUGUGAGGCGCCUUCGACGAGUCGAGUUGUUUGGGAAUGCAGCUCAAAAUGGGUGGUAAAUUUCAUCUAAAGCUAAAUACCGGCCAGAGACCGAUAGCGCACAAGUAGAGUGAUCGAAAGAUGAAAAGCACUUUGGAAAGAGAGUUAAACAGUACGUGAAAUUGUUGAAAGGGAAGCGCUUGCAGCCAGACUUGCCCGCGGAUGAUCAGCCGUCCUUCGGGGCGGUGCACUCUUCCACGGUCAGGCCAGCAUCGGUUCCCGCGGCGGGACAAAGGCCCAGGGAACGUAGCUCCCCUCGGGGAGUGUUAUAGCCCGGGUGCAAUGCCGCCAGUGGGGACCGAGGACCGCGCUUUUGCUAGGAUGCUGGCGUAAUGGCUGUCAGCGACCCGUCUUGAAACACGGACC
rnacentral:rRNA from 1 species